AUGUCUAUUCCAUGUGGAAAAGAAAAACUGCGAACAAAAGCCAAAGGAACUUGUUACACGACCAAGCAUCCCACCCAUGCAGGGAUGUUUUUCCCAUUAGCCUCGAGCGGUGAGUUCACUGAGCGUCACAGUCCUCGUUUCUGCUGGAGGAUACAUGCAUCUGUGAUACGUAGGUUGAAAGGCAUCUUCAACCAGCCACCUCUUGAAUCCCCAGUCUCCGUCCACAGACUUCAUUUGCUACUUGCUCGAAUAUUUUACCACCCACAUCAUCAUCAGCUCUGUGUAUGUUUUGACUGCAUUUCUGAAAUGGUUGAUUUCCUUGAGCAGGGGAAGUCUCUCACUGCUGCUGGAGAUUGGGAUGCGACGCGUCCUCCGACAUGUCUCUAG
rnacentral:rRNA from 1 species